AUUGCGGAACAGACCCACUGCGUUCGACCUUCACUCUUCACACGCGGAACCAUUGGGGCUGUGGAAACCUCCUUGAUUGGUGGUAGAAGCGCUUCCGCAUUCAACACAUGCAUAUGCCCCUGUCCGUGGAGGUUACUGUGAACAAAACAGCGUGUCCAAAGCAACCACAUGUCUGGCUGAAUGAUCUAGCAUGGAAUAACAAGGCAUCGACCACUGGAGUCAGCCUUUUUGUUGGUUUUACAUGACCCAGUUGGGCAAUGCAGGGCUUGUGCUUCAUUGAGGUUCUUAGUCAGCUCUACCGAACUGUCUUCCCUCAGUUGGACCUUGUUCCCUAUCGGGAUCAAUGGAAGCCAUCGGGGUGGUAUGUAUUCCGACGUGAGCGGUGAAAUGCUUAGACCGUUGGAAGACAAACGACAGCGAAGGCAUUCCGCCAGAAUGUUUUCAUUAAUCAAGAACGAGAGUGUGGGGAUCGAAGAUGAUCAGAUACCAUCGUAGUCCAUUACCGUAAACUAUGCCAACUCGGCAUUGGGAGUCUGUUCACUUUGAAGACUCUCCCAGCAUCAUCCCCCAAUAACGAGAAAUCCAAGUCUAUGGGUUCAGGGGGGAGUACAGUCGCAAGGCUGAAACUUAAAGGAAUUGACGGAAUGACACCACAAGGCGUGGAGUAUGCGGCUUAAUUUGACUCAACACGGGGAAGCUUACCAGGUCAGACACAGUAAGGAUUGACAGAUUGAGAGCUCUUUCUUGAUCCUAUGGAUGGUGGUGCAUGGCCGUUUCUGGUUCGUGGAGUGAUCUGUCUGCUUAAUUGCGAUAACGAACGAGAUCUCUACCUCUAAAUAGGCGCCGGUCUCGCAUGUAAGUAGGGAUGUGUUGGGGGCCUUCGUGUCCCCUCAUGUCCUGAGAGUGCCGGGAUCGCUUCUUAGACGGACUGUGCAUGUCUUUAAUGCACGGAAGAGGGAGUCAAUAGCAGGUCUGUGAUGCUCCUAGAUGUUCUGGGCUGCACGCGCACUACACUGGCACAGUAAACGAGUUGCACCUGCUUCGGCAGUCCUGCUUAGAAGUGAGCGUGGGAAAUCUUAGAAAACUGUGCCGUGCUGGGGAUAGAUGAUUGCGAUUAUUUGUCUUGAACGAGGAAUGCCUAGUAGAGGUACUUCAUCAGAGUACCUUGAUUGUGUCCCUGCCAUUUGUACACACCGCCCGUCGUUGCUACCGAUUGGCUGUAAAAUAGAGGCCUUAAGAGUCGCUUCCGCAAAGCUUUGCUUUUGAGGUUGUGACAAAUCUGGCCAAUAUCUCAUUGCUAGAGGAAGCAAAAGUCGUAACAAGG
rnacentral:rRNA from 1 species